GACGAACGCUGGCGGCGUGCCUAAUACAUGCAAGUAGAACGCUGAAGGAGGAGCUUGCUUCUCUGGAUGAGUUGCGAACGGGUGAGUAACGCGUAGGUAACCUGCCUGGUAGCGGGGGAUAACUAUUGGAAACGAUAGCUAAUACCGCAUAAUAGUAGAUGUUGCAUGACAUUUGCUUAAAAGGUGCAAUUGCAUCACUACCAGAUGGACCUGCGUUGUAUUAGCUAGUUGGUGAGGUAACGGCUCACCAAGGCAACGAUACAUAGCCGCCCUGAGAGGGUGAUCGGCCACACUGGGACUGAGACACGGCCCAGACUCCUUCGGGAGGCAGCAGUAGGGAAUCUUCGGCAAUGGACGGAAGGCUGACCGAGCAACGCCGCGUGAGUGAAGAAGGGUCUCGGAUCGUAAAGCUCUGUUGUAAGAGAAGAACGAGUGUGAGAGUGGAAAGUUCACACUGUGACGGUAUCUUACCAGAAAGGGACGGCUAACUACGUG
rnacentral:rRNA from 1 species